rfam:Gorilla gorilla gorilla genomic chromosome, chr3, whole genome shotgun sequence
UUGCUUUGGUAGCACAUGUACUAUAAUUGGAAUGAUACAGAGAAGAUUAGCAUGGCCUCUGUGAAAGGAUGACAUGCAAAUUUGUGAAGCAUAUUUUU